UACAGAGGUCCCAAGCGUUGUUCGGAUUCACUGGGCGUAAAGGGUGCGUAGGCGGUCGGGUAAGUCUGAUGUGAAAUCUCACAGCUUAACUGUGAAACUGCAUUGGAUACUAUUCGGCUUGAGAGUUGGGGGGGGGACUGGAAUUCUUGGUGUAGCAGUGAAAUGCGUAGAUAUCAAGAGGAACACCAGUGGCGAAGGCGAGUCCCUGGACAACUUCUGACGCUGAGGCACGAAAGCUAGGGGAGCAAACAGG
rnacentral:rRNA from 1 species